rnacentral:sRNA from 1 species
CCAGUCAGUCCACCAAAGUGGGUUUCAACUUUACGUUCAUCUUGGAUCGAUGGAUUGCUUUGCUAUAAAAUUAAGUUUCUACAAGGUUUUCAAUUCCCCAUGGUUUAAGAACUCUUUAAGCACUAGUUUUUGAAUAUUUAAAUGCCGCCAUAUUUGAAUAAGAAAAACAUCAAUGUUUAUUAAGUUUUAUUUAUUGCACAGUUUUUAUUUUAAGCUUUACAAUAUAAAUAAGUUUGUUUUAUUUACUCACUUUGCUAAAAAUGAAGCAAAUAACCUUAAAAAUACCAUGUAUUGAGAGGUAAGUUGUGUUAAUAUAUAUGAAUAAGUACAUAUGGCAAUAUAUUAACAGAAAUUACGCAUGUAAGAAAAUAUACAAUAUUCGUUUUCUUGAAAGGUUCCACUCCAUAAGGCAGAUUCAGGAUACAGAGUUUUGAGAUGCGCAGAUAUGCAAACGCUUACUGACUGACUACUAUACACAUACGUAUGGAUCUCUUGACAACGGGUGGUUACCCUUUAUAUAACUACGAGUGCUCAUCCGUUCGUCCGACGGUUCUAUUGGUACAUUUAAAGGACACUGGCAUACCUUUGGUUGAUAUAUGCCUUGGUGUGGUAAUUAUAAGUUCUUAUCGAGGCCGCCAGUGUUUGGAUUAGUUGUUUGUCCCUCUUUGCCGGUGCAUACGAAUCAAUGUCACUGCCACUGAGGUGGAGAAUAAAUAUAUUAACAAAUACUAUAGUUAGACAAGCCGGGUUAGCUACUCCACCUGAUAUUCCGUGUGCGCAGGACACGUUCCGCCCACGUCUGUGGUCUUGGUAUUUCCCGGGCCACUCCAGUUUGUUUUUUGUCGAUAUAGUCAAUUACAUCAUCGUAAUAGUUGGUUCUGUAGUUGUACAUGUAUUUGUAUUGCAGAAACUU